GUACGUUUUUUAUUUUUCAGCUGACUUUAAUUAUUUCUAUAGCUUUUUAUUUUCAGCGAAAUAUAUGUUCUUUCCUCAGGUGUCAUGGCGACUAGCGGAGAAGAUAUGGGUGUGGAUUUGAGAAACUUGAUCUCAUGUGCCACGUAUACCGUCAAACCUGAUCUGACCUAUCUUGGACAGCCUGUGCAUAAAGGGUGUUCACAUGCAACAAACUAAUUUUCUAUGUGUUGUGGUGGACUUUAAUAGCUUUCUGGAUCUGGAUUAGGACAGACAAACAAGAAAUAUUUCGUCAUCGACUGCCACUGGGGAUGUUUACACAGAACUGAUUCAGCCUCGAGUAAAGCGUGAUUAAAGAAUCCAGGGAAUCAGGAGUCUGUCGCCGCAGGAUACUUGCUAUUUUCCACCUGGGCAGAUGAAUCACCACCAUAACGCUCUCUAUCCACCCCUUACCUUCACAGUGCUGAGGCAAUAUCCGUGGAGCUUACUGUAAAUAGAUUCUAUCGUUUUACAGCUACAUUUGUUUGUUAUGAAAGGACAGACCAAAGCAGUUGACAACAGAGAUCGUUUGUGUGGUGUUAUAGAUGUUUCAGUAGCGAAGAACAGAGAUGGACUAUCCAAAGAAGAAUAAAUCCAGGACUUUGAAUUUUGACUGGACAAGUUUAAUUAGAAGGUAAAGCUUAUUCCAAGAUACUUCAGAAAAAAUAAAACAU